GAACGGACGGCUGUCGUAUCUAUCUAUCUAUCUAUCUAUCUAUCUAUCUAUCUAUCUAUCUAUCUAUCUAUCUAUCUAUCUAUCUAUCUAUCUAUCUAUCUAUCUAUCUAUCUAUCUAUCUAUCUAUCUAUCUAUCUAUCUAUCUAUCUAUCUAUCUAUCUAUCUAUCUAUCUAUCUAUCUAUCUAUCUAUCUAUCUAUCUAUCUAUCUAUCUAUCUAUCUAUCUAUCUAUCUAUCUAUCUAUCUAUCUAUCUAUCUAUCUAUCUAUCUAUCUAGCCAUGCUAGCUCACAAAUCCACGUCAUCCGAGUCGCUGGAAGACUGGGACUCCUCUUGGCCUUUGCCCCAUACAAACCUGUAGUUGUUCUCCAACUCCUGCUGUCGCUUUUGCUCCUUGUGAACUUCCUCUGUGCCUCCAGGAAGGGUGCACCUUCACGGUUCUUGACCAGCCCAUCUCUCUGGACCGACUCCGGCUCAGGAACAUCGAUCAGCUCAAUGCCUCAACAUCAGGGCUGCCUCAUUCUUUUAUAAUCACGCACCAGAACCGCUACCAGCAGUGUAUUGGUGCGUUUGUCCUUCAGGCUGUGUCCGAGUCUUCCAAGAGAGCAUGGCUAUCGAAGAUAGAGGAGGCCGUAUCGGCCCUGCUUAAGCUGGACUCUCGGCAGCCACGAGUAAAAAACGAUUCACUGUGGUUGGAAUCUUCUCAGAUCUGAAAUGUCCCGCUACACGAGAUGCCAUUGCACAUGCCCAGUUGUGCGCCGGCACUUCACUCUUCCGUGUCACCAAUGACUAUGAUUCCACUAGCAUGUCGUACGUACACAGUCAACUGCUGUAGUAGUCUACCAAUAAAACUUUG